AUUUCCUUGGCGUUCUCGCAAGUGUUGCCAUCGCGGCAGCGCUGCCCGGGUUUACGACCUUCUGGUUGGGUUCUUUUCCCGCUUUUCGCUUCUGGGGUCUCUCUGUUCUACGUUCUCCGUUCUCGGUUCUCUAUUCCGAGGUCUCUGUUCUCUGUUCUCCGUUCUCCGUUGUCCGUUCUCUGUUUUUGUGCCAUGCUCACCUCGCAUCCUCACAUCCUCGCCGGCAUCUCGACAACCACCUCGGCGUAUCUGUAUCUAUGUAUCUGCGUAUCUGUAUCUGCGCCUGUUCGCCGACUGCGCUGCAACCGAGCCGAGCGGCGAACCCAACCGCCUUGUGUCAAAGUGAACAGCAAAUAUUAUUUUUUGGACACUUUGCCAUCAGGUCGCCGUCGCGUCGCCCGGAGCUGAAAGACUCUUACUCGUCCUCGUCUUCGUCCUCGUUCUGCUCCCCGUUCGGUGGCCAUUGUCCUGCGGAGCUCCUGGAGUUCCAGUGCCCGUUGUCGCAUUUGAGGUCCGACUGUGGGUCCCGGAGCCACGGCCUUCGUCUGCGGCGGCAGAGUGCACCAAUUGUGUUUAAUUGAAUCCGACAACAAAAGCCAGAAACGCUGCAAAAGGGACCCCAAAAGUAUACCAAAGGCAUGGCCAAAGUAUAAAAAGAAAAUGGAAGAUGUGGCUGUAAAUCAAGAAGAGCCGGUUCGGGUUCGUUUGUUGCCAAAAAUACAAGAAUUAAUUAUAAUAAUGACAAAGAACAAGCACUUCAACGACCCCACUCCGCGUCCGCAUUCGCAUUCGCAUUCGCAUCCGCAUCCGCGCGCGUUCGGUUGGCCAAUUGUGAAUGUGGAUUACAAAUUCGCGUGUGCGAGCUGAGGAAAGAAUAUAUGGAAUAUGGAAAAACAAAAGGGAAAAAAUGAGUUUACCAGCAUUUCCGCCUUGCGGUUUGGCAGCUGAAGGGCCGGUGGAGCUGCUUUUAGACCGGGCUCCUCGAGUGCGCGGGGCGUGACUUCAAUUAAAGUGAUUUGUGGCCUCCGUUUCUGACAUCCGAGACGUAAAUAGCGGCCCUGAAUUAUGGUGCUGCUAAAAUAUGAAUAUUGGAACAUAGUCCUCGGCCCACCGGCCAAACGCUCGCCAGUCACGCAUCCCCACCUGAAUCCGCCCCAAAGUUGGCUAAUUGAUGGGCUUCUAACUAGAGCUACCAAAAUACCCAUACAAAAUGCCGUCGGCUGAAACGAAAAUGUCUGCCAUACGAAUUCCAGGCGAAGAAGAAGUGAAUUUAAUGGAGCGCCAUGAUGGCCAAGCCGAAUGUAGAAAAAAGAAGAUGAGAAAGAGAGGAGAGUCGAGUGCGGAAUGCCGUUGGAAUGUAUGAGAUUGGGCUGCGCCGACUGCGCUGCCUCCGCUUGUCAAUGGUUGCCAAGCGACUGCGGCGGCCAUCAUGGAUGUGAAAGAGAGCAACGCUCUCCGCGUCUCCCUCUCUCGCUCGUGCCAACAGUUCGAUAUUCCGCAGCGGUACACCAUAUAGCCACUCACCUGCGACGGCGGCUGUUGUGAAGUUCUUGCGACGUGAGCGACUGGAUUUCGGAGUCCCCCAAAAACCAGUGGCCCCAGCAGGAUGUCGGAGGGGGCUGAGGUAUUUCGAGGGAAAUUCUGCGACUGCGUCGUCGCCCAGAAAAAAAGCAGAAACAAAAGCCGAAAAUCGAAGGAAGUUGCCCAGGUUGGAUUAAACAUCGACCCCUGGAGCGCGGACUUAACCCGGCGGCAGCUGCUUCAGUUCUUCGAGGGACUCGCGGAUGGAUACUCUGGGCACUUGUCUGCGUCUUCGCGUGUGUUUGUGUGUUUUUAUAACAUUUGUGGAUUACGCCUAUAAAAACUACACCUCACCGCGGAGCCAGCGGAGGGCACCAGCUACAACAAAGGAUUAUAAAUCAUCUGCGAAAGUGAUUCAACCUGUCGCACGAGAGAUUACAACGGAGCUGUUUCUUUUAUGGUUUGUUCCGCUUUUGUUUAACGGUCCCGAGGAUCACACGCAAUCCCACGCAAUCCAUAUCCACCACCGAAGUCAGAAAAACCCGACUCAACGCUACGCAACGCAACUCGACUCAACCGAAACUCGACUCUUACCCCCGGGCACUCAAAAUAGUGUUUUAUUGUUGAAAAUUACACUUCUUUUAUUUAUUUACGUUUUUCUGCAUUUUCUACUGCUCACUCACUCUCACCCAGUUUCAAUUUUUAUAUGUUUAUUACGAUUAUUAUCGUUUAAUGGGGCUCGCUCGCUCGUUAUUGCUGUUUUUGUUAUUGUUGCACCAGUAGUUGUGUCAGACAAACGUGUGAAGUUGUUUUAUUAUUUGUUUUGAUUAUCAAAAUGGGCGUUUUACAUUUUUCCGGUCGUUGGGCGGCCCACCUGCCAUGGGCCCCCAGCUUAUAUACCAUAUCCCAUAACCCCAGGGCAAGGGCAGUAAAUCACAGCCCGCUGUGAGUGCCUGAGUAUCUGGGCAGCAGUACACUCGAAAAUGAAUAGCCCUUUUCUUAGGAAUUUGUCUAAAAUUAGUAGCGGAUGGUUGCGGCAUUGUGGUUAGAAAUUAAAUCUAAGCGAUUAAACUUCCAAACCGAAGGCGUACAAUCUAUUUUUGUUACUAAUGCAGAAUAUAAUGUUAAAGUUUUAAAAUGCACAGACUCCAUGAACAAUUUAACUUUUAAAUAAAGUUUUUAGUAAUAAUUUUGAUUCCUUAAAAAAAAGUGCCAAAAAAUAUUACUAACAAAAAUAUGUUACUAUGAGCAAGAUUUAAAAAAAUAAUAUCGCUAACAUACUAAAUUCAUGUAAAUUUCUGCCAGUGAUCGAGUGAGAUCGAGUGCACUCAGUGCUGGCCACUCAUUCGCACUCUCCGUAUGACCCAUAAACAUAAACCAAAGUGUGGCAAAAUGUUUAAUUUGGAAUUUAUGAGCAAUUAAUUUUAAAGCACUCGCCCGGCAGUUAACGCUGUUUCUGCCCCUCUCCCCUUUCGGCCAUCGCCCACCCUUGGCCAUAAAAGAUUUAACAAGCCAGUGUGCCAAAAAUUGAUUGUUUAGCCAAUCCGCUGAUUGAUCAAUUAUUCAAUUGUUAUCGCCCAAGAUUUGGCAAUCACGUUUGAGCAAGACCAGCAAAACUAACCGAAAGACUAUUAUUAAAGAAUUCACCGACUGAAUGGCCUGGUGAGAAUUCCAUUAAACUGGCAGGUGCAAAACAAAAAAAUUUAUUUAAAUAUGUUAUGGUAAAUAUAAUCUUAAUGAAGCCAAACAAAAUGUAUUGAAGUACUUUAAAGCUGGUGGGAAUAAAAUUUGUACAUUUUUUAGAAUAAGCAAAAAAAUUGUUAAUUAUUAUUGAUAUUUA